GAUGAACGCUGGCGGCGUGCCUAAUACAUGCAAGUCGAGCGAACAGACGAGGAGCUUGCUCCUCUGACGUUAGCGGCGGACGGGUGAGUAACACGUGGAUAACCUACCUAUAAGACUGGGAUAACUUCGGGAAACCGGAGCUAAUACCGGAUAAUAUCUUGAACCGCAUGGUUCAAUAGUGAAAGACGGUUUUGCUGUCACUUAUAGAUGGAUCCGCGCCGCAUUAGCUAGUUGGUAAGGUAACGGCUUACCAAGGCAACGAUGCGUAGCCGACCUGAGAGGGUGAUCGGCCACACUGGAACUGAGACACGGUCCAGACUCCUACGGGAGGCAGCAGUAGGGAAUCUUCCGCAAUGGGCGAAAGCCUGACGGAGCAACGCCGCGUGAGUGAUGAAGGUCUUCGGAUCGUAAAACUCUGUUAUUAGGGAAGAACAAAUGUGUAAGUAACUAUGCACGUCUUGACGGUACCUAAUCAGAAAGCCACGGCUAACUACGUG
rnacentral:rRNA from 1 species